CACGUAGUUAGCCGUGACUUUCUCACAGGGUACCGUCACUGUCUUCUUCCCCUGCGACGACAGUUUACAAUCCGAAGACCUUCUUCCUGCACGCGGCGUUGCUGCGUCAGGGUUGCCCCCAUUGCGCAAUAUUCCCCACUGCUGCCUCCCGUAGGAGUCUGGGCCGUGUCUCAGUCCCAAUGCGGCCGAUCAACCUCUCAGUUCGGCUACAGAUCGUCGCCUUGGUGAGCCGUUACCUCACCAACCAGCUAAUCUGACGCGAGUCCAUCCAUAAGCGAUAAAUCUUUCAAAUUCUAUGAUGCCAUAAAUUUCAAUAUGCGGUAUUAGUCCUCGUUUCCAAGGAUUAUCCCCCUCUUAUGGGCAGGUUACUCACGCGUUACUCGCCCGUCCGCCACUUUCCACCCAACAGUUCACCCCGAAGGGACUCACAAUGGGUUUCUCGUUCGACUUGCAUGUGUUAGGCACGCCGCCAGCCGUUCGUCCGUGUACGCAGGAUACGAAACUACUCGUACG
rnacentral:rRNA from 1 species